rnacentral:rRNA from 1 species
UACGUAGGGCGCGAGCGUUGUCCGGAAUUAUUGGGCGUAAAGAGCUCGUAGGCGGCCUGUUACGUCUGCUGUGAAAUCCCGGGGCUUAACCCCGGGCGUGCAGUGGAUACGGGCAGGCUGGAGGCAGGCAGGGGAGAACGGAAUUCCCGGUGUAGCGGUGAAAUGCGCAGAUAUCGGGAGGAACACCGGUGGCGAAGGCGGUUCUCUGGGCCUGUACUGACGCUGAGGAGCGAAGGCGUGGGGAGCGAACAGG